rnacentral:rRNA from 1 species
GCGGACGGGUGAGUAACACGUGGAUAACCUACCUAUAAGACUGGGAUAACUUCGGGAAACCGGAGCUAAUACCGGAUAAUAUUUUGAACCGCAUGGUUCAAAAGUGAAAGACGGUCUUGCUGUCACUUAUAGAUGGAUCCGCGCUGCAUUAGCUAGUUGGUAAGGUAACGGCUUACCAAGGCAACGAUGCAUAGCCGACCUGAGAGGGUGAUCGGCCACACUGGAACUGAGACACGGUCCAGACUCCUACGGGAGGCAGCAGUAGGGAAUCUUCCGCAAUGGGCGAAAGCCUGACGGAGCAACGCCGCGUGAGUGAUGAAGGUCUUCGGAUCGUAAAACUCUGUUAUUAGGGAAGAACAUAUGUGUAAGUAACUGUGCACAUCUUGA